rnacentral:lncRNA from 1 species
CCUGUACUAAGGCAGAAAAAAAUCCCUACUGGGGGUUUGGACUGCAGACCAGCCAUCCAUUCCUUUUGCACCGAUUUGUCUACAGAGCUGACAUAACUUCUGUGGAGUUCCUGGAACCAUGCUCUUCCUCAUUGCACUUGAUCCAGAGAAAGGGCUAGGGCUGGAGAAUCACCCAUCAGAGCAGCUUGAUAUUCCCUCUCUGCUUUUUGCCUUCUAGAAACUUGCUUUGGAAUUGCAAAAAAAGAUGCAAUUCUUUUUUUUUUUUUUUUUUUUUUCUUUGGAAUUUGUAAUCACAAAAGAGAGAAGAUGGGCUAGGCACCCACCCUUUGGUUGACACUGGGUAACUCGACUUCGUCCGAUUGAGCAAAUGGGGUGUGGUGGACUCAUAAGAGAGGGGAGCCUACAGUUCAGGCAACCAGCGCCAAGUCCUGAGUCAGCAUCACCUCCUCCUGCACCUCUCUCAGGCGAUCUUCUGGUCAAGGACACUGCAGGAAGAACAAAGGCAGAGACUUGAUGCGGCAAUUGAGCAGCUUGUAACUGGAACAACCUGGCCCGCAGAGAUAAAGGGUUUGAAAAAGCUACCUCGCCCUCCUUGCAGCAAUCUUCUGCUCUCAGAGAAAGUGUACCUGUGUACCUCCCAGAUAGGUGGCUCAGACAAACUGCCCUUCACAGGGGCAGGUGAACAGAUCAGCCCACCAGGAAAGACUUCAUUCAUGUGGACCCCGAAUUUAUUUGCAAUUCGUGGAAGCAGCUCUCUGCAGCUGUUAGUAACUUGCUUUUUUUUUUUUUUUUUUUUUUUUUUUUUUUUUUUUUUUAAUGAGGGAAUAAGGAAGGUGACUAAAGACCAGCUUGCUCCUGUGUCUUCAUCCUUUUAAGAAUUCGGUCGAGUUUUGGGGAACAUUGUGUCUCGGUUAUUGAUGGUUUAGCUCAUACCCUAUAUAGCGUACACUCCUGCAUAAAAGGAACAAAGCUAAAAAGGGGCAGUAGAGAAUAAAGGAGAGAAGCAAAGGUCAAUGGAGCUGGUCGCUCAGGAGCUGAAAUCCCAGCUGGGCUCCCCUCCCCUUCUGCCUCUGAAUGCAAUUUGUACUCUGCAUCCUUUGCUUUCCAGCUUCCUGCUUCUUUGCUGUCUCCCAGGGGGAGUUUAUGGUUGCAGAGACAGUUUCCUUCAAAGGCAGCCGCCUGUAGCAAUUUGCUCAGGGGGAGGAAAUGAGCAGGACACAUUGUCACAGGAGCCUCAUUCUGGGAGGAUCUGGAGAGGUUUUGGGUCUCCAGUACUGCUUAAGAUACAUCACGGGUAAAUCAGGCCAGGCAACUGAUCUGUCUUAGAUUCUUAGAGGACUUUUACUGGGGAGUAUGGAGCAUCUUUGAUGACACUUGCAGAGAGAAUAUUUCACAUUCUGAGGGGAGACAUAUUAAAGAUGGGUUUGAUUGUGCAUUCACGUUCUGAGGCCAGGGCAAACAAGUUUCCACAGGCGAUGGUACCCACUGACCAGCGUUCUUCUCUCCAGAGGCUCCAAGGUCAUUACAGAAUACAUGGAAGGGCAAAUUUCCAAACUACUGGCCUUAGAUAAAAGCUUGGACUCCUCCUGGGAGUGUGGGCUGUGUAUUCCUCCACCCAUUACUCAUCCUCACCGCUGUCUUGUGUCUUUCACAUCCUCUUAACCUCUUCCUUCCCUUCCUUCCUUCCUGGCUUGCAGAGAUUCUUGUCCCCCAUCACCACCCCGUCACCCCCCACCAAUUUCCAACAGGGAUCAAGUUUCCUUUCUGGUGAAGAUGCCUUAUUUUUCACUCUAAAUAUAAGGAUAUCCAUCUUUACUUCUAGCACUGGAAUUAUGUAUUCCUAAAAUCAUUUUAACCCUGAGAGAGGCUUUUCCAGCCCUUCACGAAGUGAACCUUGGAGAAUUCUGCUAGAAACAACAACAACAACAACAACAACAACAAAACACAAGAAGUACCACGUCAAAAUAUUCUUCGGUUAAGACAGUCAUGCCCCAAAUACUAUCCAAGUUGCCUUCAGAGGAAAAGCCAUCUGUACAUCAAAGUUAAUAUUGCUUUGAAUUAUUUAUACCAAUUCAGUUACAUAAACAUUUACAAAUGUAGCAGUGACAAUGGAUUAGCAACACUUAAUGAAAGGAGAAUGGUCACAGGCUAGAGAUGUCUUUUGUCAAUCUCUUGUUGUGUAUGUGUGUGAAUCUUUCUACUGAUGUCUGUCUCUCUGUCGUUGUUACAUCUCAGAUUCAUGUUGUCUCUCAUACUCAGAGCAAGAUGACCUGCGUGUGCUUAAAGGCAUCGCCUAUCAUGUUUUCAUUUCCUCUUGUAUUGGUGCAAUACUGCAUAUUGUCUUAGUUUAAUAUGGUAUAUUGUAUGAGGUCCUAAGUUUGAAGGUGCAUUCAUAGCGUAUCAGGCUAUGAAGUAAAGAUCCUGCUGUUUCACAAGCCUAAUUUUAAAAGAAUAAAUUUCAGAGAGACUGGC